AGCUGACCUGUAAGACUACACAGACAUGCCGAGGCUGUCCUGAGUCACUCUUCUUCACAGUCUCUGCAUGGCUCCUUUCACAGCCAUUGUCGCCCCCUCACCUCAGAGUUGGACAGCUCAGCCCAAACACUGCUCAUCUCUGCCUCCAUGUUCUGUCCGCUCUGAAUCGCCCACACAGUGUCUGCAGGUUGACACACUGAGCCAGUGAGUACGAUCGCUAAGGGAUGUCAUCUCCCACCACGGGCCCUUCAGAGACACUGAAGCCUCUCUGUGCUCAUGUGCGCAUGUAACAUGUGACAUACCACAACAUCUACAACAUGUUCCUCUGCCAGUCACCCUGUCCCUGGCUGUCUCAUGCCCUCUGUCUCAUACCUUCACUAGUUGUACCUUUCGUUAAAUCAUCAUGACUCCCAGCACUUUUCCUGUAAUCUCAUCUAGAACGACUUCACUCAAUCUUCUCUUCAUCCCCCACUCUGAUUCUCGAUGGAGUUCCCGCCAGUGUCUCUCUCGCUCUCUCAGAGCGGAUGCUCGCCGCCAGAACCAGGCUUUGGGAUUAUGCAAAUUUAGCUCCAGCCUGUUCACACCUGGAUGCAAUGGGGCAUGAAACAGGGAGUGCACUCGCUGCAAAACUUUUCACUUUUUUCAUUCAGAGAGGGGGGAGAAAAUCUUAUUUUGCUUAUUUAAAAGUACUCAAUGUUCCCUCUUUAUAUUGUUAAAUGUUUUACUUUAUUUAACAGAGCCAUAAUUAGAUUUAAAUAGCACUGAGGUUCUCUAUAUAUUCUUUCAUAUAUUCUUCAAAGUCUCGCUUUGUUUGAGUUAAUAAAAUAUGGAGACACAA